UGAGGAAUAUUGGUCAAUGGGUGCAAGCCUGAACCAGCCAUCCCGCGUGAAGGACGACUGCCCUAUGGGUUGUAAACUUCUUUUGUAUAGGGAUAAACCUACCCUCGUGAGGGUAGCUGAAGGUACUAUACGAAUAAGCACCGGCUAACUCCGUGCCAGCAGCCGCGGUAAUACGGAGGGUGCAAGCGUUAUCCGGAUUUAUUGGGUUUAAAGGGUCCGUAGGCGGACUUAUAAGUCAGUGGUGAAAGCCUGUCGCUUAACGAUAGAACUGCCAUUGAUACUGUAAGUCUUGAGUAUAUUUGAGGUAGCUGGAAUAAGUAGUGUGGCGGUGAAAUGCAUAGAUAUUACUUAGAACACCAAUUGCGAAGGCAGGUUACCAAGAUAUAACUGACGCUGAGGGACGAAAGCGUGGGGAGCGAACA
rnacentral:rRNA from 1 species